GACCCGAUAGCGCUGGUGCGCGCCCGCUUUCGAUUCAAGAAAUACACUCGAUAAUUUGUGGGGCCCUGUUCGAUCCGGGGUCGGGUCA